AUUGAACGCUGGCGGCGUGCUUAACACAUGCAAGUCGAACGGAGUGGCGAACGGGUGAGUAUUACGUGAGUAACCUGCCCUCAACUGUGGGAUAAGACUGGGGAACUGGGUCUAAUACUGCAUAGUUUGGGAUGGGCUCGCGGCCUAUCAGCUUGUUGGUGGGGUGAUGGCCUACCAAGGCGGUGACGGGUAGCCGGCCUGAGAGGUUGGUCGGCCACAUUGGGACGGAGAUCCGGCCCAGACUCCUACGGGAGGAAGCAGUGGGGAAUAUUGCACAAUGGGCGCAAGCCUGAUGCAGCCAUGCCGCGUGUAUGAAGAAGGCCUUCGGGUUUUAAAGUACUUUCAGCGAGGAGGCGUUACUCGCAGAAGAAGCACCGGCUAACUCCGUGCCAGCCGCCGCGGUAAUAC
rnacentral:rRNA from 1 species